rnacentral:rRNA from 1 species
AUUGAACGCUGGCGGCAGGCCUAACACAUGCAAGUCGAGCGGAUGAAGGGAGCUUGCUCCUGGAUUCAGCGGCGGACGGGUGAGUAAUGCCUAGGAAUCUGCCUGGUAGUGGGGGAUAACGUCCGGAAACGGGCGCUAAUACCGCAUACGUCCUGAGGGAGAAAGUGGGGGAUCUUCGGACCUCACGCUAUCAGCUGAGCCUAGGUCGGAUUAGCUAGUUGGUGGGGUAAAGGCCUACCAAGGCGACGAUCCGUAACUGGUCUGAGAGGAUGAUCAGUCACACUGGAGCUGAGACACGGUCCAGACUCCUACGGGAGGCAGCAGUGGGGAAUAUUGGACAAUGGGCGAAAGCCUGAUCCAGCCAUGCCGCGUGUGUGAAGAAGGUCUUCGGAUUGUAAAGCACUUUAAGUUGGGAGGAAGGGCAGUAAGUUAAUACCUUGCUGUUUUGACGUUACCAACAGAAUAAGCACCGGCUAACUUCGUG